rnacentral:rRNA from 1 species
AGUGAACGCUGGCGGUAGGCCUAACACAUGCAAGUCGAACGGCAGCACAGUAAGAGCUUGCUCUUACGGGUGGCGAGUGGCGGACGGGUGAGGAAUACAUCGGAAUCUACUUUUUCGUGGGGGAUAACGUAGGGAAACUUACGCUAAUACCGCAUACGACCUACGGGUGAAAGCAGGGGAUCUUCGGACCUUGCGCGAUUGAAUUAGCCGAUGUCGGAUUAGCUAGUUGGCGGGGUAAAGGCCCACCAAGGCGACGAUCCGUAGAUGGUCUGAGAGGAUGAUCAGCAACACUGGAACUGAGACACGGUCCAGACUACUACGGGAGGCAGCAGUGGGGAAUAUUGGACAAUGGGCGCAUGCCUGAUCCAGCCAUACCGCGUGGGUGAAGAAGGACUUCGGGUUGUAAAGCCCUUUUGUUGGGAAAGAAAAGCAGCAGGUUAAUACCCCGCUGUUCUGACGGUACCCAAAGAAUAAGCACCGGCUAACUUCGUG